UACGUAGGGGGCUAGCGUUGUCCGGAAUCAUUGGGCGUAAAGAGCGUGUAGGCGGUCCGGUAAGUCCGCUGUGAAAGUCGGGGGCUCAACCCUCGAAUGCCGGUGGAUACUGUCGGGCUAGAGUGCGGAAGAGGCGAGUGGAAUUCCCGGUGUAGCGGUGAAAUGCGCAGAUAUCGGGAGGAACACCCGUAGCGAAGGCGGCACUCUGGGCCGAUACUGACACUGAGGAGCGAAAGCGUGGGGAGCGAACAGG
rnacentral:rRNA from 1 species